AAAAAGGCAAACCCUAGGUUUCCGUGUCCAACUUUAAUUGUCCCUAUAUGAAAUUUUUUUAUAAUUCGUAUUUUUAUUGUUGUUAGAUGAUAAAACAUGAUUAAUAUUUUAUGCGUGACUUGUCUUUUUAAUUUUUUCAUAAUUUUUUCAAAUAAGACGAACGGUCAAACGUUAAGCACGGAAACCAGGGUUUGUAUUUUUU
rfam:Oryza glaberrima chromosome 8 Oglab08_unplaced138_18, whole genome shotgun sequence.